rnacentral:rRNA from 1 species
AUUGAACGCUGGCGGCAUGCCUUACACAUGCAAGUCGAACGGCAGCACGGGGCAACCUGGUGGCGAGCGGCGAACGGGUGAGUAAUGCAUCGGAACGUACCUUUCAGUGGGGGAUAACGUAGCGAAAGUUACGCUAAUACCGCAUAUUCUGUGAGCAGGAAAGCAGGGGAUCGCACGACCUUGCGCUGAUUGAGCGGCCGAUGUCAGAUUGGCUAGUUGGUGAGGUAAAGGCUCACCAAGGCGACGAUCUGUAGCGGGUCUGAGAGGAUGAUCCGCCACACUGGAACUGAGACACGGUCCAGACUCCUACGGGAGGCAGCAGUGGGGAAUUUUGGACAAUGGGGGCAACCCUGAUCCAGCCAUGCCGCGUGAGUGAAGAAGGCCUUCGGGUUGUAAAGCUCUUUCGGCCGGGAAGAAAUCGCACGGGCUAAUACCCUGUGUGGAUGACGGUACCGGAAUAAGAAGCACCGGCUAACUACGUGCCAGCCGCCGCCGUAACAC